UGGGGAAUAUUGGACAAUGGGCGAAAGCCUGAUCCAGCCAUGCCGCGUGAGUGAUGAAGGCCUUAGGGUUGUAAAGCUCUUUUACCAGGGAAGAUGAUGACGGUACCUGGAGAAUAAGCACCGGCUAACUUCGUGCCAGCAGCCGCGGUAAUACAAAUGGUGCUAGCGUUGUUCGGAAUCACUGGGCGUAAAGCGUGCGCAGGCGGCUAUUCAAGUCAGAGGUGAAAUGCCUAGGCUCAACCUAGGAACUGCCUUUGAAACUGUAUAGCUAGAGUCUCGGAGGGGUUAGGGGAAUUCCUAAUGUAGCGGUGAAAUGCGUAGAUAUUAGGAGGAACACCAGUGGCGAAGGCGCCUAACUGGACGAGUACUGACGCUCAUGCACGAAAGCGUGGGGAUCAAACAG
rnacentral:rRNA from 1 species